UACGGAGGGAGCUAGCGUUGUUCGGAAUUACUGGGCGUAAAGCGCGCGUAGGCGGCUUUGUAAGUUAGAGGUGAAAGCCCGGGGCUCAACCCCGGAACUGCCUUUAAGACUGCAUCGCUUGAAUCCGGGAGAGGUGAGUGGAAUUCCGAGUGUAGAGGUGAAAUUCGUAGAUAUUCGGAAGAACACCAGUGGCGAAGGCGACUCACUGGACCGGCAUUGACGCUGAUGUGCGAAAGCGUGGGGAGCAAACAGG
rnacentral:rRNA from 1 species